rnacentral:rRNA from 1 species
UCAGACGAUGCGUCAUGCAUAUCAAUAAGCGGAGGAAAAGAAACUAACAAGGAUUCCCUUAGUAACGGCGAGUGAAGCGGGAAGAGCUCAAAUUUGAAAUCUUCAAGGUUUUACCUUGACGAAUUGUAGUUUAAAGAAGUGUUUUCUGUUGAAGGUUUUGGUAAAAGUUCUUUGGAAUAGGACAUCAUAGAGGGUGAGAAUCCCGUAUUUGACCAUUAUUUUCAGCUUUGUGAUACACUUUCAAAGAGUCGGAUUGUUUGGGAAUGCAGUCCAAAAUGGGUGGUAAAUUUCAUCUAAAGCUAAAUAUUGGCGAGAGACCGAUAGCGAACAAGUACCGUGAGGGAAAGAUGAAAAGAACUUUGAAAAGAGAGUUAAACAGUACGUGAAAUUGUCAAAAGGGAAGCGUUUGACACCAGUGUUGUUUUCUCGAAAAUCAAUUAAAAAUGGCUCGAUUUUGUAUUGUUGAGACCUUAAAAGCUCACUGUACAUUUUUCGUGUCUUUUUUAAUGCACUUUUCGUUUAACAAGUCAACAUCAGUUUCUUUUGUUGUAAAAGGGUCAUUGGAAGGUGGCUUUCUUUUCGGAGAAAGUGUUUAUAGCCUUUGGCCUCUGCAAUCGGAGAGACUGAGGUCUGCAGCGUAGACUCUUCGGGGUUAGAUACAUUUGUGCUAAGUUAUAGCUUUUUAUAGACAACUUGUUGACUAUAAUUAGUCUUGUAGCUUACUCGCUUAUGCUAUUUUACCUACGCUUAGGAUGUUGACGAUCAGCUGAGCGCG